rnacentral:lncRNA from 10 species
CUGGAUUGCUGAAUUAACUUUUAAUUUUCUCUAUACAAGACUUGGCACAUGAAGAGUCAACCAAAGGAUACACAGACAACAAUUACAGGGGAAUAGUACUUUAGAGGUGUGUCAGCAGCUAAUUAGUCAAAAUAUGUUUUUUUCUGGAAGUUUAAUAUGAUUAGCUUUUCAUUAAUUGGAUUAUCAAAUAGUCCGUGAGCCCAUGUAUUUCUUCUACUUGUAAUUAUAGGAAGGAGAUGGGCUGGAAACAUGGCACCACUACCUGUCCUGGGGGUCCAGGCUGUGCACCUGCCUCCAGGGAGCCCCAGGAGCUUCAGAUGCUUCCUAGGAGGAGAGGCUGGGAGGAGGAGGUAGCAAAGCUCUUGAAAGUGAUUGACAGUGGGGGCAACCCAUCUCUACACCAAGUCACAUUGAUUCCACAAAGGCCUUAACAUAAAUUGAAAGAAAACACUAGAAUGCAGACAUCCUGUUUAUUGAAUAUUAUAUUUCUUAGGAUCUUGGAUCAUUUGUAUUUUUUAUCACACAGUGGACCAUAACAACUAUUUCCCCAGAUGUGAUAUUGUUGAUUUUUCUAAUCUAAAAGCAUUAGAUCAUAAAUAAUUGGUAUGACUUUCCACAGAACGCCAGCUGUGCCGCUCCUGAUAUCUGGGUGUCUCUGAAAAUCCAGGGUCCAUGGGAACAAAUGUCUUUACAUUGGCUCAAAAACCCACAAUGAAAAGCCAGAGCGCUUCAGCCCUCUGCGUUCAUCCGAUAACACGCCCAAUGGGAACGGAUGCAGAGACUGGGGAGAGGCAAAGGGGACUCCGCCCAUUUCUGAAGGUCCCACCGGGCACACUCUGUGUUUUCUGUGGGCACCAUGGCUCAUGCUGUGGUCAGGGUACAUUUUCUGAAAUGUGUAUGAUGCACCCAGCAUAGCGCUGGGCUCUGUGCAGAAGCUGUUUCAUUUACUCUUCACAAAAGAGUGGCUGAGAGGCAGAGGCCAGAGGACCCACCAGGUUCACAGUUCAGGUGACUUCUGGUCUUGCCCACUGGAAGCGGAGAUGGCUCACAGCAUUCCUUGUACAUAGACUUUCUCCCUGGCAGGCACACAGCUCUGUUCCAUGUCACCUGGGUCCCUCUUGCCGUUGUCUUUCAAAGGGCAGUUGAGAUGGGAAAUUCUGGCUCUGAGCCCACCAAUCACGGCCCCACCAAAAUGAACAUUUCCGGUUCCAGAAGCAGGAGGCCUCUGGGAAAGGGCGUGGGGUGAAGGGGGGACCCAAUGGAGGGCCGAGCCCAGCAGUGGAAGGCUGCGAUCCAAGGCUGUUUCCAGAUUCCACCUCCAGGACUGACCAGGCAGAAAGACUCCAGGUCCCCAGACUGUAUUUGGUGAAAUUCCUAAAACCCAGGGGGAAUUGUGUAAAGCAACUCUCACAUUCACUUGUUUUUUUAAGCAUUAUAUCAGAAGACAUUCUUACAAGAUGAAUAUGCUGAAAUCAUUUCCAGAAAAGUUUGAUUUCCUUCUGCUAACCACUCCUCAUCCCUAGAGAAAGUGAAUAUUUCUCUUAGUAUGAAGGGCAAGCAUGUUAAUGCUGCCUCAGAUAGGAGCUGGUUCAGGCCUCCCAAUGCUUAGCAUUGAAAAACUCAGGUUUAAGUUGAGUUUGGCAUUUGAGUAAAUCCUUGCCUAUGCAAGAUACUUCAUGAACGUUACACUUACCAGUCCUUUUCCCAGGGGUAGGGUAAGAGAGAUUAAAAAGUCUGCAGUAACGGUGUCUUAUGAGCAAGCUAGUUGAUUUAUAAGCAGUAAGCUGCACACGCUGUUGUGCACCACCUAUGCAUCCUGUGCAGUGAGCUGGUGAAAUCUGACGAAUCAAGCUGGGGCAGGUGAUGAACAAGGCACGUCUUCGCCGUGGAUUCUGCCUGCACAGAAGACCUGAGAUGCGCGAUGUCAGGCCCGUCCCUAACAGGAGGAAAUCUCUCCAUGUCGCCUUCAUUUAGGAUUUUUUUAAAUUAUAGUAAGUAUAAUAAAAAGAAAAACAGCUGAUUUGACUCCAUCCUCUUCCAAAUGAACUAUUUCUGUAUAUCUUUUGCUUUGGUGCUUAAUCGGAAGUGAAACUGUUCACGGCAUUGAAAGGAAAACUAAACUACCCCCCAGGGAAGGUGCCCUCCAGCGGGCACUUGCCGGUCACAGGGUGGGUCAAUUCCACUUUCCCUGAAGAAGGUGGUACUUUUGUUUAGAAUCAUAAGAGACAAAGGACUCUCAACUGGAUUUGCAUGACGUCUCAUGGCAGGGUUCCCAGACUUUCUAAGGAGCUGUUUGAUGUCAGAAUACAUUGUGCUGGCUGCUCACGGGUAGCACAGGUGUUCUUACUGUCCACUAAUUGAAAUGAACAACCAAAAAAAAUGACAAAAAGCCACUGUGAAAUCAAGAGGACUCUGAAAACACAUCUCUACUUUGCCAAUCUCAUGUGUAUCUACAGAUAUUGACAUCACAGGGUUAAGUGUCUGAAUGAGGUGUUGAUUCUUCUGCAGGUUGUGAUGUGCACUUGGGUCCCGGGACUCUUGGGAACCCUGGCUCCAGGCACCACUAGCUCAGGGAGAGGCCUGUAUUAUAAAUAUCUUACAUCAGAUGUUUUGCACGACUUAUUUAGUUGUGUAUUUUAUAAAAGUAAAUCUUUCCGAGGCUGAGAAUAUUUAUAGGUAUUAUACUGUACUUCCUAAAUAGGCUGAUUUCAGAAGAAUAAAAAUUAAAAAGAGAAGAUACGAAGGUCACUAAAACAGGUGAUGGGAAAGGCAGCCUGAGGUCCUCAAAGACCCCAUCCCUAGGAGACAUUUGUAGGUGCCUGGAGCCACUCCGGACCCUCUUCCCCCUACCUCGGGGCCACAGCAGUUCUCUGCCUUGCUCCAUUGUGGCUUGGGGAUGUAUGAAUGAAGGAGGCCACGCGAAGCUGCUGACGAAGGGGUCUGGGGAGCCCGGGCAUCCCACACCCCACAGUUACCCCAGCAGCCUGGCAUUUUAAAGCUCUUCCAGCCCACUCCCAGGCACCCCUUUUUCAUCAGGACUUCCCCCCAGUUUCCCAAACAAGCGCGAGCGACAGCCUUUAUCCACCGAGCUUCCCGGGCACAUGCGCUCCUGUUCCCACCAGCAGGAGACCUGGAAGGGAAGCGGCCGUGUCCUGCCCGUGACGCGCGGCCUGGCUCGCCCUGUGCCCUCCCUCACCCUCCUCUUCUGCUGAACCUAUGAAAAGUCCCCCGCCCCCAUCACCCACCCAAAUCCCAGGCUCCACAUGAACUCUGUCCACCCUCGACAGGGCAGGUGUGAUUUCUGUCCUGUGCCGCCUCUGGAAAGCGAGGGUCAUCCAGUGAGGGUUCCUGACCCUUCCCAUCCAAAGGCCGAUCCACAUGCAACCAAACAACUCACUUCGGAGACUAAGCGGAGACGCAGACACACUGGGAGGAGGCCAGGUGGGCACUCCAUGCUGCCCUGAGUUCACCUUCAAUUCUAUCGGGAAGAGAUUCGGUGCAGACAUGCUAGAAAAUUGUCCUAGUCGAUCAUGAUAAGCCUCCACCAAAGUGAGCACAGUGACGAGGAAGGGGCAUUCAGUGCCUCUCCACCUCAUCACACAGGCAAGCUUGCAGCAGGGUGCUUCUUGCUGCUAAUUGUUCUACCCACUGUCUACAGGAAAAACAGCGGCCUCUUGGAAUGAAAACCACAUUCUCCCGCCCAUCGCAGUAAGUGCGGCCAUGUGUGUAAUUUCCGGACAAAGGAUGGGAAAGAAAUGGGGGCACGGCUCCGGGAGCCCUGCCCGAGGCUGCGUCCUGGCCCACAAAUUCCCAGAGCAGUCUGGGCUCUGUGACCAGCCCCGAAGUCUCUGCACCUGACCUUCAAGAGAGACAGAAAUAAACUUCUGCCCUGUUUAAACUCCUGACAUUUUGAAUAUCUGUAACGAGAGCCAAACCUAAUUUUUAAUGAAUGCAAACUCCAUCUGAUGGUGAGAUGAGUAAAAAGGAAAAUUUAUUUAUUCAACAAAUAUUUAUGUAUCAGGCACCUGAAAUAUUGCUCUUUAGUGUAGUUAUACACAGUGAUAAUGUAAACAGACAAAAGUCCCUGUCCUCACGAUUCUCAUGUUCUGGAAGGAAAGAAAGAUGAUAGGCAAAUGAAAGCAGAGAGUUGCAAAUGAUGGGGCUGCUGUGAGGAAAGACAGCAGGGCGAGGUGUUUGGGGUCUGGACGCAGACAGCCCUGAGCCGACAAGAGGUUCCCAUGCUGCUCCGAAAGAAGCGAGGUCCCUCAGUGACCACCUGGGGUCAGGAAUUCCUGAAGAAUUCCCAUUUACUCUGUUACAAAUUAGGUAGUUCAUUUAAACUGUGCUUGAAGUCACAUGUGUUAUUAGUGAAAAAAUGUGAUCAAAGAGAAAAGACUGGAGGUGAUUAAUACAAUAUGCUAAUAUGAUAUCUAAGAUGCAGAGCAUGAAAGGAGAGAGCUUUGUUUCUCUCAAAAACUAAGGUGAAUGCUUUGGAAAGAUAGAAACUCUGUCUGCUUUACAAAAAUUGCUGUUGACUUAGGAGCAGAUGGAGAAAUCAUAAAAGUCCCAAAGCGUGUUUGUCUCUGCAGGGUUGUGAAGUCCUCACCCUACUCUGCGGAAAUGAGCAGAAAAUUGUCGGAGUCAUUCGGCAUUUGUUCAUGCAAGAAAGACACAAACCCCAGUGAGUUCCUGCCGGAGAAAAAGCCUGAGUCCCCCAAAAAAUAUUGUGUCUAAGUGGCCAUGGAAAUAUUUAGUUAGUAUUGUGUCUAAGUGGCCAUGGAAAUAUUUAGUUUCUGUCGGUAUUUCUCUUAAUGAUUUCCUAUUUAAUCGACAAUGAGCCGUUUGGAAGAUACCGAAAGGGAGGGCCCUACGGUGUCAGAUGUAGCUCUGUCCAGUGGGCUUCCUGUUCGUGAUGGGGUGGGGCUGUACCUUCUCCGAUACGGGCAGGUGGGGUGCGACAGUGGCAGGUGGUUGGUGGGGGUCUCACCCCACACAGGGUGUCAUGGAAGCUUCCAGAGGAGAGAGAGGGAGCGGGAGCUGCGUCAUGAAUGACACUGCGGUUGUCCACAGUAGCAUGUACACAGAAGGAGAACAUGAAAGAACUCGGAAUCUUCUUAGGACGCUCAUGUGUUCUGUGAAAUGGAGCCCAGGGCUUCCCUGGAGGGGCAGGAAUGGAAAGGCCGGUCACAGAAGCAAACGUGGAAACUGAGGGAGGAAUCGCUGGUGGAGAGCGAGCCCCAGGAGGCCUGAGACAGCGCUCAGGCAGAAACGUCCGUAAGUCAACGAGCAUCAAUCAAACCUGCGAGUGACCCAUGGAGGCAUAAGGCCACAUCUGCUGACCACAUCAGACCAAUACCCCUUUCACUCUCAUUUGAGCUUGCUGAGAUGAGGCUGGACAAGAACAUCUACAUGGAAAAGUGUUAGAAAGAGGAGAAUUUUAAAUCUUAUGCAUGACUGGCUAUUAGAAAGUAUAGCCUUGGGUUUUAGAUCUAUUUUCAAAACCUGACCUGCAUGACUCCUUAUUUCUUUUUUGUGACUACAGCGUCAGAAAUGUUGGGAAAUUGCUUAUGAAGUGAUGUAAGUGCAGUGACGGACGUUGAGUCAAACUGACAUCAUGAUGUAAAUGCCAUGGCUGGUUCCAGGCAGGGGCACUCAUCCUUUUUCUCCAGCUUCUAUCGAAUGGAGUAAGUAGUGCAAAAUACGUCACAGGUUGUACUUGGAGACUUUGCCGCGUGCCUUUCCUUUUUGUUUUGUUCUUUUUUUUGUGAGACGGAGUCUCGCUCUGUCGCCCAGGCUGGAGUGCAGUGGCUCGAUCUCGGCUCACUGCAAGCUCCGCCUCCAGGGUUCAAGCCAUUCUCCUGCCACAGCCUCCAGAGUAGCUGGGACUGCAGGCGCCCGCCACCACGGCUGGCUAAUUUUUUGUGUAUUUUUAGUAGAGAUGGG